rnacentral:rRNA from 1 species
GCGAUCAGGCCAGCAUCGGUUCGGGCGGCCGGACAAAGGCCCUGGGAAUGUAGCUCUCUCGAGGAGUCUUAUAGCCCUCRGCGCAAUGCGACCAGCUCGGACCGAGGACCGCGCUUCGGCUAGGAUGCUGGCGUAAUGGUUGUAAGCGACCCGUCUUGAAACACGGACCAAGGAGUCUAACAUCUAUGCAAGUGUUUGGGUGUCAAACCCCUACGCGUAAUGAAAGUGAACGGAGRUGAGAACCCUUAAGGGCGCAUCAUCGACCGAUCCAAAUGUCUUCGGAUGGAUUUGAGUACGAGCAUAGCUGUUGGGACCCGAAAGAUGGUGAACUAUGCCUGAAUAGGGUGAAGCCAGAGGAAACUCUGGUGGAGGCUCGCAGCGGUUCUGACGUGCAAAUCGAUCGUCAAAUUUGGGUAUAGGGGCGAAAGACUAAUCGAACCAUCUGAACCACGUCUUACUGGAUGGUUCAAUCGAGCUCCGCCGAGGGGCUCGACCCAGUCCCUUCGGGGGCCACAUUGCCAGUCUUCGGGUAUGCUUUCGGGCUAUCUGCAGCGAGUCUUUCGGGGCCUCGUUCACAGACUAAACAGCAAUGGCUGCGCCCAGGCGCAGUUGUGAGAUAGCCGACUCGACUCGUCAACGCGGGCCGUUCGCCGGAGUAGCUGGUUCCUGCCGAAGUUUCCCUCAGGAUAGCAGUAACGUUUUCAGUUUUAUGAGGUAAAGCGAAUGAUUAGAGGCCUUGG